rnacentral:tRNA from 1 species
AUCAAAGUGGCGCAGCGGAAGAGUGGUAUUCCCAUAACCCAUAGGUCCCAGGAUCAAAACCUGGCUUUGAUA